CAUUUUCCACCUCUAUCCCCCACCGCCACUCCUUUGCCCUUAUGGCUGCAGGCCGAGUGGAGCGCGGCGUUAGGAUCUCUCAGCUGCAUGCAAGGUGUUAAAGCUGGGGUGAAACUGCGUGGACCUUUCCUUAUUAUUCUGAAGAUGGAGCUGGAGCUGCGUCAACAGAUCUUCUCGGUCAUGACUUAAUUCUCCUUUAUGUCCGAAUUUAGAUGUUUAAAAGGUUAUAUCCCAUGUCCACGCACAAGGCGCCCCAUUUUUCGGUCCUUAAGCGAACAAUGAGAGCGUCGGAUCAUGUUUCCAGUCAGUCUGCAGGGAUGUUACAGCGAGAGUGACACACAGAUGCAACCUUUGCAGCAGCUCUGUAGACCAGGUCAAACAACGAAUUAAGAGAGCUGAGGCCGUCCUCAGAUCUGAGCUGUCAAAGAAAACGGACAACGCCUUUGCAGGGGAUGAUGGGUGCACAGCGAACCUUAGUGGCAAGCAAUUGCUACUGCACGUUGACCAAAUAGAGCAAAUAAAGCAACACUUGUGGUCUAAGAGGAAUAAUUUGUAGGUACUUUUUAUUGUAUAUAUAAUUCUCCUUUAUUUUUGUCACACCUAUAUGUUUAAGAUGAUCACACACGUUUCACUUUCAAAGACACAAUAAGAAGAAAUACUAAAAGCAAUUUUCAGAUAAUGGCUUAUUAAGUGGAGACAAGUUACCCAAAUCAGCAAUCUGUGGACCUUAUUUAUUAAACUAAAGCUACAUGAAAUAUCUCAAACACUCGAGUAAAGGUUUCGGGACGGCCUAGUCAGGAGAUUAGUCGAUGAGUUUAGACCUAAAUCCAAUUGACAUGUUCUGGUAUGACCUUUAAAAGACAAGCCGUCGUUUUUAAAUAAAGUGAAAUAACUUUUUUUUUUUAAACAUUUUCAUGUAAGCCAGGUAUGAGGGAGGAGAUAAAUAGCAGGAGCCAUGUUUAAUUUCCAACAGAAGGAGAUGUCACUCACAUCAAACGGUGAUGUCACAUGACAGGAUUACCAUCUUGUCAGUAUACAUUAUGGUUUCCAUGUGAGUGUCAUCAGAGUCACGUGCAUGGAGACAACCACAGCAGAGAGGGAUCUGCUUGUAAAGACACUCAGCGCUCCUUUCUUAGGAACAGCAACAUUCAGUUGAUCCGUCAUCAUGUGAUGUUUGACAAUGGACAGAAGAAGUUUUUUCAAUGCCAAAUAGUAAAACUUUCUAAUUCUGCUUGACUUUUUGGUGACAGAGCAGCAGAAAAUAGUACAUAGUUGCGAAGUGGAGGGAAAAUGAUACAUGGUUUUUAACAUUUUUUACAUAUACACAUCUAAAAAGUGGAGCAAUCAGAGAAGCAGCUAAAAGACCCGUGGUAACUCUGGAGGAGCUGCAGAGAUCCAUAGUUCAGGUGAGAGACUCCGUUGAUAAGUCAACUGUUGGUGUAGCCUGCCACAAAUUCUGUUUUUAUGGGAGAGCGGCUGGAAGAAACCCAUCGUUGAAAGGUACUGAAUGAUUUAGUGGACACACCAAACAAGUGGAAGAUGUCUCUCUGGUUAAAUGAGACCAAAAUUGAUUUUUUUUAGCUGACACGAACAUUUGCUGUGUUUGAUGGAAAUCAAAACUCUGUAAAAAACAUAUUCAGAAUGUGAAAAAAAUAAAAGCUGUAAUUGUUAUAAUUCAUAUUAAAAAUUCAAACAUUUAUUAGCUUCAUUGUGUGGCUUAAUGGCUCCCCCUAAUGAUUACCAAUACAAACAGCAAUUACUAAAACAGCCUACUGAGAAAAGUGUAUCAUCCAGUGUGGUAAAUCCAUCUAUAUUGUUAGUCUAAUAGCUUUUUAUAAACAAAGUAGGUAACAUGAACUAUAUCUUAGUAAGGGGAUCAUAGAUAACACAAGUUGGUGACGGGUGUUCAGAGCCAACUGACUAAACUUCAAAAUGAUCUUUGUUUCUCAUAGGUUCUUUUGUUUUAACUUAGUUACUAAUUGGCUUAAUGAGGUGGGAGGAAGACGUUGGUUCCUCGGGCAAAGCUAUCAAACAGAUACUAUCGGCUGUGAAAAUGCUUAGAGAAAUUCUGCACUCAUUACAUUUCAAAGGGAGGUUGAUUAUGCAGCUUUCAUCAGAGCAGCAGAGCGGUCAGUCUGCAGUUCUGCUGUGCUCCCUGACCUGUUUAGCCUGGAAAGCAUUGCGGUGUGAUUCUUUUAUCUUUAAAGUGCACACAUGGAUGAACUAUAUGUUUAAGGUAGCUUAACCGGCUUUUUGAAAUAAAAGGAAACAACCAGAGGUUCUGGACGCUGGUUAGAAACACCCUAGAGGCAGAGCAGGCUUCAGACAGAGUACUGAUUGAUGAGGUGGGCCUCAGCACUAAUGAUGAGGUGUGCCUCCCUGUAACAAGUGUUAAAUUAUUUCUCAGAUGUUUACAACACUAUGACAUUAUCAUGUGGGCUUUCCCAAUUGUUUAAAGGCACAGUAAUAUUAGUGUGUGUAAACCCCUGACCUUGAAGAAUGUAGUAAAAGAUAUUUAAAUAGUUUUUUUCACACAUUGUUCUGGGAAUUAGUGAAUAGACAUAAUCCUAACUUAACUAAAACGACAAAGUUUUUGUCAGAUUCAAUGUAAGACAAUUUUAGAAAAUGUAUAUAACAAUAUUAUUUCAACUUUAAAUCAGCCUGUUUCACUAUUUAGGAAUUUGUAUUGUUUUAUCUGUGCUACCCUCUUUAGUCUGGGUUGGCUGCUGCUGUUUUAGGCCUGUGAACGCAUAAAAAGCCAUUUCUUGGGUGUUGUCUGCCAUCUCCGCACCAUACACACCACUUACCUGAACAAACCUUUGAUGUCGCAGACGCCAUGCAGGCAGGACUGCUGAGCUCUGCAGACAGUAAACAAAUGGCCAUUUGAUCCUACAGACCUUUUCUUAGACUUAGAAAACUGCCUUUCUGUCGAAUGUCUGUAAGUUUUAAGCCGACAUACAACAUUCCCAGAAAGAUAUCUUCAAAUGUUAGCUCUCGAAUCUCAACUCCAAGCCCUACAAAGGACCCAGCCAGAGUACCGGGCAUGCAGUAUCAUGUGUUUUACUGAAACAUGGCUGCAGGAUCAU